AGUGAACGCUGGCGGUAGGCCUAACACAUGCAAGUCGAACGGCAGCACAGGAGAGCUUGCUCUCUGGGUGGCGAGCGGCGGACGGGUGAGGAAUACAUCGGAAUCUACUCUGUCGUGGGGGAUAACGUAGGGAAACUUACGCUAAUACCGCAUACGACCUACGGGUGAAAGCAGGGGACCUUCGGGCCUUGCGCGAUUGAAUGAGCUGAUGUCGGAUUAGCUAGUUGGCGGGGUAAAGGCCCACCAAGGCGACGAUCCGUAGCUGGUCUGGGAGGAUGAUCAGCCACACUGGAACUGAGACACGGUCCAGACUCCUACGGGAGGCAGCAGUGGGGAAUAUUGGACAAUGGGCGCAAGCCUGAUCCAGCCAUACCGCGUGGGUGAAGAAGGCCUUCGGGUUGUAAAGCCCUUUUGUUGGGAAAGAAAUCCAGCUGGCUAAUACCCGGUUGGGAUGACGGUACCCAAAGAAUAAGCACCGGCUAACUUCGUGCCAGCCGCCGCAGUAA
rnacentral:rRNA from 1 species